ACGCACGCACGCACGCACGCAUGCACAAACACUUCUGAGUACUUAAUGAGCUCUGGGCACUACUACAAGUGCGGAGGAUACAGCAGUGAACCAAGUCCCUGUCUUCAUAGGACUUGUUUUCUAGAGGGGAAGGUACAUCUUAAUCAAACGAAGAUACAAAAAGGGUGAUGUCAGUUUGUUUUCUAUGUCUGUGCAUCUAUUUCUGCAGGCCCUCUGGCUUCCCCUGUGGCUCAGGGCCGGGCACUGGUGACGCUCUGGACGUUUGCCUGCAUGUCUACGAUCCCUUCAACUCAAGCUGCGCCCGCCAGCGACGUGACCUUUAGAAGCUGCCAAGUCCCUGUUGCUGAGUGGUUCCUGCUGCUCUGUGCCUCAUGAAGAAGGGGAGAUGGAAGAGGAGCGUACUUCCCCCUCGGAAAGUAUGAGAAACCCCAGACCAAGGAAGUUAUGCAAGUGAUGGGGAGAAGUUCGUUCAGGGUUUCAGCUCUGCCCAUACACCUGUGCCUGGCCUUGGCACAUUCUAGAGUUCUUGGCUCUCGAUAGCUCAGUGACUGGGAAGCAGAAAACACACAGCCAACUGUUCACUUCUGGUCUGAGAACCUCCUGACCAGUUGCCUCAGAUUUAAAGAUAUGUCACUGCCUUCUUUAUCAUGGUGGCUUUUGUCCUGUACUAGAUGAUUUUAUGUUCUUGAGCUAUAAACUUCCAAGGGACCAAUUUUGACUUCAGUACUUGUGCCUGUUAGAAGCUGAUAAUAUAUCAUGAAGUUGCUUUGGGUGGGAAGCCAGGGGGUUCAUGAGACCUCCAAGUUUCCAGAGCCUUCUCCCCCUUGGAGAAGGACCUCCAGAGUAAAGAGCUUUGCAAUUGCUCUGCUAUUGCUUUGAGGCACCAGUGUGAGAGUGUCUGGGACAUGGACUUGGGAGCUGUGGAUAUCUCGGUUAGUAUUAUGAUUCUAGAAUGAUCUAGUUGUGUGAUGUAGGGUGGUACUUAGCCUUUCUGAGCCUCAGUUUCCUAACUGAUAAAUGGCGAUAAAUAUUACCUACUUGGGAGUUCCAGUCGUGGCGCAGUGGUUAACGAAUCCGACUAGAAACCAUGAGGUUGUGGGUUCAAUCCCUGGCCUUGCUCAGUGGGUUAAGGAUCCAGCAUUGCCGUGAGCUGUGGUGUAGGUCACAGACUCAGCUCGGAUCCCGUGUUGCUUUGGCUCUGGCAUAGGCUGGUGGCUAUGGCUGCAAUUGGACCCCUAGCCUGGGAACCUCCAUAUGCCGCGGGAGCGGACCUCAAAAGGCAGAAAAAAAAAAAAAGACAAAAAAAAAA
rnacentral:lncRNA from 1 species